rnacentral:misc_RNA from 1 species
AGCGACUCUUAUCUUUCAUUCUUUUCCAGAGCUCCUUUAGAGAGAGAAAAGAGAACCACUAGCCUUUCCGGUUCCCGGCCUUCGCCUAUCACCGGCGAUGUCAUCGUCCUAUCCUCCGACCGAAGAACUACCUCUGAUGAGGAAUAUUCUCGACUGAAAAUCGAGGGGGAGAAGCAUACCGAAGACCAGACGCUAUUCCUUAUUUUUUUUCUGACGAAAAUUUAAUCGGAAUUGCUUCUUUCACAGGAAACUGGGCGAAAGACCAAAUCGAAAUUGCUUGUAGAUGCUUCAAUACCAGCCUGUGAGUUUUUGAAGUUGUGGUGACCCAGUUGAGAUCUUUGAGGGAUACUUGAAGCAAUUAUUAAAUCAUGGAUACUUUAUUGAAAACACAUAACAAGCUUGAAUUCCUGCCUCAACUUCAUGUGUUCCCAGAGAAAGCGAGUAAUGUGGGCUCUAUGAAGCUUCGAAACCCAGAGCUUAGGUUUUGUCUGCAUAAGUCUUAUAAAAAAAGGGUAAGAAAUGGUUGUGUUAAGGCUACCAGUAGUACUCUUUUGGAGCUUGUACCAGAGACCAAGAAGGAAAAUCUUGAAUUUGACCUGCCUAUGUGUGACCCAUCAAAAGGACUCGUGGUUGACCUUGCAGUUGUGGGUGGUGGCCCUGCAGGGCUUGCAGUUGCACAACAAGUCUCGAAGGCAGGGCUUUCUGUUUGUUUGAUCGACCCAUCUCCCAAAUUGAUUUGGCCUAAUAAUUAUGGUGUUUGGGUGGAUGAAUUUGAGGCCAUGGAUUUGCUUGA